rnacentral:sRNA from 1 species
AUGUUGCACGCUCCGUGCGUGCAUGCUAUCUUAAUUUUCUUGACUCUGUACACCGCUCUGUGUACGUGUAAUCCUACGUUGAUGAAUUGCAUCUUGUCCAGACUUGGACCUAGCU